AGGAGGGAGAGGGCGGCCGACGGUUGGGCGGGUCCCAGCUGAGGAAGUUCCCUCCUCCACAGGGCAGGGUGAGCCGGGAAAUCCGGCCGGGCGAGAGCCCGGGCAAGGGCCCAGAAACGACACAGACCCGACAGACAGGAUGAUCCGAGGACGGUGACGUUCCCGGGGAUUUGGUGAAACGGCGACACCUCACCGGAGCAAGCCCAUACAGCCGGGAUGACCGCCCGGGGACCGGCGGGUAGGGUGCGCAGUUGAAUGCCGCCUGAAACAGAAGGGGGACUACUACUCCCACCU
rnacentral:RNase_P_RNA from 1 species